CAUUAGGCUAGGUUGGGAGGUUAGUGGUCUCUUGUAAGCUCAAAUCCUCUAUAUGGAGCGACCGAAGUUUUUGGAGAGGCAUAUUAAAUAUUAAUAGGCCUAUAGUUGUAAUGUCGAAGUUUCGCCCCAUAGGAUUAGUGGUAAUGGGAAUCCAACUGGAGGGUUGGGUUAAACUAUUUUAAUCGACUGAAUGGGUCAGGUCUGGAAAGAAGCAGCUCUGUUUCGGACAACUGAUGUUUAUGGAUCAGCGGGGUGGAGUUACGGUUAUAGAUCACCUAUUUCUAUGAGGUAUGUCCAUCCAAUUACAUGCCG
rnacentral:SRP_RNA from 1 species